CCUGUGAACAGUCAGUUUCUGGACAAUCUCUGAGGUCAUGUGGAAGUUAGUACCAAGCACACCAAAAGCUACUGUAUAUUUCUUGCUGGGUCUUUACAACCACCUACAGGA